AACGAACGCUGGCGGCAUGCCUAACACAUGCAAGUCGAACGAGACCUUCGGGUCUAGUGGCGCACGGGUGCGUAACGCGUGGUAACCUGCCCUUAGGUUCGGAAUAACUCCCCGAAAGGGGUGCUAAUACCGGAUAAUGUCUUCGGACCAAAGAUUUAUCGCCUUUGGAUGGGCCCGCGUUGGAUUAGCUAGUUGGUAGGGUAAAAGCCUACCAAGGCGACGAUCCAUAGCUGGUCUGAGAGGAUGAUCAGCCACACUGGGACUGAGACACGGCCCAGACUACUACGGGAGGCAGCAGUGGGGAAUAUUGGACAAUGGGCGAAAGCCUGAUCAAGCAAUGCCGCGUGAGUGAUGAAGGCCUUAGGGUUGUAAAGCUCUUUUACCCGGGAUGAUAAUGACAGUACCGGGAGAAUAAGCUCCGGCUAACUCCGUG
rnacentral:rRNA from 1 species